rnacentral:antisense_RNA from 1 species
UGUAGGAGCUGCCGAAGGCUGCGAUCUUUUGAUCUUGAUCUUAUAAAAGCCAGAUCAAAAGAUCGCAGCCUUCGGCAGCUCCUACA